ACUGGCAACCCCUGACUGAAGUUAAGCAGAUAUGGGCCUGGCCAGUACCUGGAUGGGAGACCUCCUGGGAAAAGCUAAGGUUGCCAGUA
rnacentral:rRNA from 1 species